rnacentral:rRNA from 1 species
UUCAAGGGAUUUCCCUAGUAGCGGCGAGUGAAGCGGGAAGAGCUCAAAUUUGUAAUCUGGCGUCUUUCAGGCGUCCGAGUUGUAAUCUAUAGAAGUGUUUUCCGUGCUGGACCAUGUCCAAGUCCCUUGGAACAGGGUAUCAAAGAGGGUGACAAUCCCGUACUUGACAUGACCACCAGUGCUCUGUGAUACACUUUCUACGAGUCGAGUUGUUUGGGAAUGCAGCUCAAAAUGGGUGGUAAAUUCCAUCUAAAGCUAAAUAUUGGCGAGAGACCGAUAGCGAACAAGUACCGUGAGGGAAAGAUGAAAAGCACUUUGGAAAGAGAGUUAAACAGUACGUGAAAUUGUUGAAAGGGAAACGAUUGAAGUCAGUCGUGUUCAUUGGACUCAGCCGGUUUUCGGUGUAUUUCCUUUGAACGGGUCAACAUCAGUUUUGUCCGGUGGAUAAAGGCAGGAAGAAAGUGGCUCCCUCGGGAGUGUUAUAGCUUUCUGUCACAUACACUGGAGGAGACUGAGGACUGCAGCUCGCCUUUUGGCCGGGGUUCGCCCACGUUCGAGCUUAGGAUGUUGACAUAAUGGCUUUAAACGACCCGUCUUGAACCCACGGACCA